GGGGGACUGGGGACAUCGGAAAUGAGGCUGUGACACGAUGCUGGAGCGCUUGCUUUGAGGCCUGUUUUAAGUUCACAUCAGCCCAGUGAGAGCACACGGCCGGCGGCUUUCCUCCAGCUCGGCACUUUGUGACAUAGAUUUCAAAUAUGGCGCCUUUCUUGUCCUGCCCCACCCCGACGCGUCCAGAACAAGCUGUCUCUUUGCAUUGGGGAUCAUCUCCCUUUCCCCGGGGGAAGUCAUGCCCAGAUGGAACGGCACCCCGCCUUCUCCAGGGCGGCCCAGGUCUGGCAGAGGGGGCCCGAGUGUCAACUGGGAGUCAGGAAGCCGCUGGGGAGAGCCAGACCCCGCGAAUACUGGGAUGCGUCAACGGGACUGUGGAUCUGAAGAACAGAAUGCUGAUGAUCCCCAGGAGGGUCUGAAGGUUAACGGGGGACUGGAGAGAUGAAGCUGGGAGCCUCCCGCCUCCUGCUGUGUGUCCCUGGCAAGUUGCUUGGCCUCUCUGAGCCUCGUUUCGUGCAUCUGUUGAGUGUGAAUGCAAAUACUGGUGCUCAAUAGGUGCUUAGCUCCCGGCUGUUGGGCUGUUGGACGAGAGGCUGGGAGAGGUGUUGCAGGUGGAGUCUCGGCGGGCAGGGGGAACCGCUCAAGACCAAUUCCGUUGCUCUCUUCUUGGCCAGGACAUGUAGCACACAGUAGGUGCCUCAUAAAACCCUGCCGACCUGUUUGGGUCCAAGACUCCUGAAUCUAAGGCUUCCUUUUCCCUUUUCUUUAAAAAAAAUUUUUUUUUAAUGUUUAUUUUUGAGACAGAGAGAGACAGAGCAUGAACGGGGAGGGUCAGAGAGGGGGAGACGCAGAAUCCAAAGCAGGUUGCAGGCUCUGAGCUGUCAGCACAGAGCCCGACGCAGGGCUCGAACGCCCGGACCGCGAGAUCAUGACCUGAGCCGACGUUGGAGGCUCAACCGACUGAGCCACCCAGGUGCCCCUCCUUUUCCCUUUUGACUUGUCUUCCAGCCUCACCUGCGCCUCCCUGGUGGGGCCACCGGCAGGCAGGCACACUCAGUGCUGAAGUGUAGAUUCUGAAGCCUGGGUUCAAGUCCUGACUUGGCACACAGUAGGUGCCACAGAACGACAUUGCCAUAACACUGAUUCGUACUGUUAGCGUGGGUUUCAGGCUCCAGAUUCUUCUGGGGGCUGCAGCAAGCAGACCUCUCCAUGCCGAUCAGCCCCUGCCCCAUCCCAAAGUGUGGGGUCAAGGCAGAGGUUUCAGCCCGGGGCAGUUUGCCCCCCCGCCCCCCCAAACUCCCCCAGGGGACAUCUGGCAAUAUCUGGAGACAUUUUUGGUUGUCAUGCCUGGGGGAGGUGAUACAGGCAUCUGGCGGGUAGAGGCUAAGGGGGUGCUAAGCGCCCUACAGUGCCCGGGACCUUGUCCAUCACAGACAUGAUCUGGCCCCAAGUACAAACAGUUUGGAGGUGGAGACUCUCUGGGUUAAGGAGCAGGUGCUCAGAGUCACACCCCCUACUGCCUGGCCCAGGGCGGGUGGCCUUUCCCUCUGAAUGUGUGUCCCUGUCUGCAAAAUGGGGGUGAUUGUAUCAGUUGCACAGGACUCUUGGGACGAAUAAGUGCAUUAAGGAUGUAAAGGGUUUAGGACAUGACCUGGCUCACAGGAUGUGCUGUCAGUGUGGACGAGUUACUAUUAACGACUGGAGGACAAUGACGGCGGGGGUCGCGUGUGUCUUCUGCCCCUCUGCCCUCUGAUUUCUGAACUGGUUCCUGAAACAGCCAGCUCUUGUUUGCCCGGACCCCAGUGGCCCCGUAGCCAAGCAAGUUCACCUCUGAAGCCAGAACAGACAGUGUUCAGCUCACCACGGCUGGAAAAAAUGUCCCCUAAGCCCAUCUGCUCAGGGAGGUGCGUGGAGCUGCGUCCCCCACGCUCAGGCAUUGGAGAAACAGAAUUUGAUAUAAAUAACUCAUCUUAACCUUUACUCUGAGCCCUCAUUCAGCUAUGGGUGGGGGAGGGCGAGGGAGAAACCAUAAUCGCAGUGGAUUCAGGGUCCCCCAUUCCCACCCAGGAGGUGAGCUGAGAGAAGGGUCAGGACGCAGGCAGUCUGCGUUAGAACCUGGCUUUACCGGGGCGCCUGGGGGGCUCAGUCGGUUGGGCGUCCGACUUUGGCUCCGGUCAUGAUCUCACGGUUCGUGAGUUCGAGUCCCAUGUCGGGCUCUGUGCUGACAGCUCGGAGCCUGGAGCCUGCUUCGGAUUCUGUGUCUCCCUCUC